rnacentral:sRNA from 1 species
GCCAGGCAUGGUGGCAUAUGCCUGUAAUCCCGGCCACUAGGGAGGCUGAGGCAGGAGGAUUGUGAGUUUGAGGCCAGCCUUGGCAAUUUAGCAAGACCGUGUCUCAA